rnacentral:lncRNA from 1 species
UAGCGAUCGAAAGGAUUUAAAAUCUACAAUUUUUAAUGGUUGAUUUAUGCCGUUUGCAAAUUUAACGGUGUAGAAAGAUUCAAAUAAGAUAAAAUUUUGAUAGAAAAUUCUUUAUACUAUAUACAGCAAGAUCAAUAUGUUUGAUAAAAAUUUUUAAUGCUAUACCACUACUUUUUGUGAGAUUUUUAUUUUCAACCGUUGAUUUUGAGCACCUUCGAUCGCUAGGUAAAUGAUAUCGAAAAGUCACAAAAUUUAUUUUCUAGAUAUUU